rnacentral:lncRNA from 1 species
UAUAAUUGUUGCUGAGCUGCUUUAAACUUGUUCCUGCUCCAGCUGGCCAGUGCCGUAGUGGUGUUCCUAAUCCGCUUCGAAAUUUGGAGCUGCUCGGUUGAAUGAGGAGACCAAGAUUUGUAUAUCACCUCUCGGCAUUCUGCAUCUUGAAGCCAAAAGGCUUCGAAGGUAAAGCACUUUUUCCGCUUGACUAGCAUUGCAUUGGUGGUUAAUAAAAUCGGGCUGUGGUCGGAACCUAUGGCUGGAAGGGUAAGAACCUCUGCCUCUGCAUAUUUUAAUCGCCAUUCGAUUGUACAUAAUGCACGAUCGAGUCUUUCCUUGACCAUUUCCUCGCCACUUCUGUUAUUAAUUCAGGUGUAGGCACAACCUUUUGUCUCUAGGUCCAGCAAUGCACAGUCAUAAAGAAAUUCC